rnacentral:rRNA from 1 species
UUGGGAGGAAGGGCAGUAACCUAAUACGUUAUUGUUUUGACGUUACCGACAGAAUAAGCACCGGCUAACUUCGUGCCAGCAGCCGCGGUAAUACGAAGGGUGCAAGCGUUAAUCGGAAUUACUGGGCGUAAAGCGCGCGUAGGUGGUUCAGUAAGUUGGAAGUGAAAUCCCCGGGCUCAACCUGGGAACUGCUUUCAAAACUGCUGAGCUAGAGUACGGUAGAGGGUGGUGGAAUUUCCUGUGUAGCGGUGAAAUGCGUAGAUAUAGGAAGGAACACCAGUGGCGAAGGCGACCACCUGGACUGAUACUGACACUGAGGUGCGAAAGCGUGGGGAGCAAACAGGAUUAGAUACCCCGGUAGUCCACGCCGUAAACGAUGUCAACUAGCCGUUGGAAUCCUUGAGAUUUUAGUGGCGCA